rnacentral:rRNA from 1 species
CUACGGGUUGCAGCAGUGAGGAAUUUUGCGCAAUGGGGGAAACCCUGACGCAGCAACGCCGCGUGAGCGAAGAAGGCCCUCGGGUCGUAAAGCUCUGUCAAGUGGGAAAAAAAUCUUUUGAUCAAUAGUCAAAAGACUUGAUGGUACCACUGGAGGAAGCACCGGCUAACUCCGUGCCAGCAGCCGCGGUAAUACGGAGGGUGCAAGCGUUGUUCGGAUUUACUGGGCGUAAAGGGCGUGUAGGCGGUUUAGCAAGUCGGAUGUGAAAGCCCUGGGCUCAACCCGGGAAGUGCAUUUGAAACUGCUUGUCUAGAGUAUGGAAGAGGAGAUUGGAAUUCCUGGUGUAGAGGUGAAAUUCGUAGAUAUCAGGAGGAACACCCGUGGCGAAGGCGAUUCUCUGGACCAAUACUGACGCUGAGACGCGAAAGCGUGGGGAGCAAACAGGAUUAGAUACCCCAGUAGUC